ACGAACGUUGGCGGCAGGCCUAACACAUGCAAGUCGAACGCUGUAGCAAUACAGAGUGGCAGACGGGUGAGUAACACGUGGGAAUCUUCCUAUCGGUACGGAAUAGCUCAGGGAAACUUGGGGUAAUACCGCAUACGCCCUUCGGGGGAAAGAUUUAUCGCCGAUAGAUGAGCCCGCGUCUGAUUAGCUAGUUGGUGAGGUAAUGGCUCACCAAGGCGACGAUCAGUAGCUGGUCUGAGAGGAUGACCAGCCACACUGGGACUGAGACACGGCCCAGACUCCUACGGGAGGCAGCAGUGGGGAAUAUUGGACAAUGGGCGCAAGCCUGAUCCAGCCAUGCCGCGUGAGUGACGAAGGUCUUCGGAUUGUAAAGCUCUUUUGCCAGGGACGAUAAUGACGGUACCUGGAGAAUAAGCCCCGGCUAACUUCGU
rnacentral:rRNA from 1 species